GCUCGCUUUCCUGGCCCGACCUGCCCGGCCUUCAUGCCUUUAUCGUGGGUGCCAGUUCUCUGGGACGCAGAUGGAGGUCCCGCCCAUCUCUCCUCACUGGCCCUUGCGCAGCCGCAUCUGGAGGCCCAUCUCCUUCCCACUCCGUUCCCCUUUUUUCUCUGUCCCGUUCUCUGACCCAUUUACAUUCUCUCCCUCCUCGAGCUCCCUUCUUGUCUCCAUUCGCCAUUCCCUGUCCUCCGCCCUACCAGACACCCCAGUUCAGGGUCCAGGAGAAGGACAGCUUUUAUGUGGCUUGUAAAAUUCUAUUAUAUCUGUAUUCAAAACCUAGCAGCUGAGAAACACUGGUAAUAAGCGUGUUAUUAAGCGUGUAAAUACACUUCCACUCCAAGGCCUCCAAGGUGCAGGGGACGGUUUCCCAACCUGGGCAUCUCCCCUGCUUGUAAGUCUCUCCCCGCCUGGCCUCCAUCCCAGACUUAGACCUUGUGCCCAGGCCCAGGCCUCCUCCAGGCUCCAACCUCCUCCGUCCCGCACAACCCAGACUCUUGGAGAAAGGGGGCGGGGGAGAGGGCCGAAGAAAAAAAACAUUAGGAAAAAAACUCCCACCCAGAGAGCAUUCUUUCUGCAGCACUCAGGAAAAAGGAUGUCUCACAGGGGACGGGAAGGCGAAAUUUUUUCACAUCCAAAUGGAUUGCAAUUUCCCUCCAUUUAGCACCUGAAGGUAAUUAGCUCGAAGAGACUGCCGAGUGCGAAACACGUUCACGGAACAUUAACUCUCACACAUUCUCCAGUUGCAGGGAAUUAAUAGGAAAGAUUAAAGUUUAAAGAGAGCAAAAUGCCAUUACCUCGCCAGCCACCUCUCUCCGCGGCAGUAUCCAGCCCCCGAAAACCUUCGACCAGUGCUUGGGCCGGGGUUCGGGUCUCAGCCGCCAGCCUGCCUGGCUGGGGCAUCUGGGUGUGUCCCAUGAAGAGGGCUAGCAUGUGCUGAUGUGCACGCACAUGUGCAAAAAAAGGGCAGUUGUGACCCUUCAUGAGGCCCGUGCAACCCCUUUCCCAUCACCAAGAGGUCUGGAGUGGACAGGGCAGGUGUGUUCUCAUAGGCAGACUCCUGGCAUUGGUGUGUACGGUGGCCCCAGGUCGGGGUGAUGCUAGGAAGAGUUAGUAGCAUGGGUGUGCCCUGUGAUUUUGGUGCAGGGGGUGAGAUCUGGCAGCUUGGCUGGCGAGAGAGAAACGGAGGGUGUCACCCCCACCUUGGGUGUGUACAGGGGCCCUGGGUGCAGUGAUGGAGAGUUGCUUCCACUCUUGUGGGGCAGGCAGGAGCCACAAACAUAGCCACAAACACACACUUGCGGGCUCCCCCUGCCCCACACAGACGGCCUCUGUCACUCUGCUUUUUUCAAAGUUUACGUAGGCUUCAAAUUUGAAGCGUUUCUGUGUUGCUUCAGUAUUUUAGGGAAAGAUGAAAGACAGAGAGAGGGAGACAGAGAGAGAGUGGGGGAGAGAGAGAGAGAGAGUGAGGGAGAGAGAGGGGCAGAGGCAGGCAGGAGAGAGAGAGCGCGAGAUGAAAUUGAGACAUGGAAGAAUUUAUUGCCCAGAAAAUUCCAUUCUGCUAUCUGAUUCAAAAAGUCCAGUCCCCCCAGCUUCGGAAAAUCUAUUUUCCACAUUUUAAUACCCUGCAGAACAGUCCUCAUAACUCAUCCGAGUGUGUUAAGCACAGUUUUAUUAGAUCUGAAACAAAUUUUGGUGGGGAGAUACUAUAGGUCAUUAACCAUGGAGUAAUUUUAUCCUUGUUUCCCUAAUGAUGCCAUAAUGGCGAGCGAAUUUCUUAACUAAAGACCAAAGAACAUUUUGAAGGUCAGUUUCAUCUGUGAGCUCCUUCAAGCGCUUCUCAGAGAAGAUUGGAAAACUCGCCGAUUUUUUGAAGAGUCAUUAAUAAUGUGAAAGCUGAAAGCACCCUCCAUUUGCGUUCCUGCUUUUUACCUUUUAAUUUUAUAUCGUCCCCGCUCAGAGCCCCGCUCCCACUCCCUCACCCUCCUCUGGACCUCCCGCCUGCCUACCCACCCCACGCAGGGAACAAGGCUGCCCGGUACUACCAGGUACCAGGCUAGCUGUGAGGGGCACAUGGGGGCGGCAGCAGGGGAGGCAAAAGAGCCAGAGAGGCCAGGGCCCCGCCGAGAUGGGGCGCCUCAGCUGUAUUCCCAGCAUAGGGGGCACUGUGGGAGGGGAUUGUUAUAGGCAUGGGACACACGCGUGUGUGUGCAUGUGUGCAAAUGUGCAGUCCAGGGGACUGGGGUCUCUGGAUUGGGUGCUGGCCAUGCACACACAUGUUAGGGAUGGAUGGGGACCUACUGGUCUCUCUAGGCGAGUGCCCCCUGUUGGAAGCAGGCAGGGAAAGGGAACUGAAAACCGGCCCUGGGUCUGGUGGCCUGGGCAGUGGGGCAGUGGGGGGACUUGCGGUGUCUCCCAAGAGAGAUGGACACUACAUGGAGGGCAUGAAACAAUUUACAGCAGCUUGUAAGCCCUGAUUACAUGUGUGUGCCAACGAGCAUGUAUGUCCUGGAGGUGGGGAGGUCAUCAAGGCAAGAGCCCAGAGGACCUACCCUACUGACAAGUAUUUAGACACUAGAGACAGUGGCCAUUGUCUGCCCAUCCCUCACUCCUUAGACCACACACCCCUUUCUCCCCAGGCCUGGAGCCCCUCAUUUGCCCACUUUACUUGCCUCCUGAUCUCCAAUCCCUGGUUCCUCGGACCUCCCGCCCCCCCAUCAGUCCUAUCCCUCCCCCUGAACCCUCAUCCCCCUACCUCUUCACCCAUCUGCUGGCAGUCAGUGCAGGGUGCCCAGCCAGGAGCUGGGGUGGGACAGCAUUUCUCUGUGUGUGCAGGUUUGGGGAGGAGGGGGCGGUGUGGUGACACUCCAUGCUCCCAGAUGUGGUGGCAGCGAUAAUUCCAAUUUUAUGCCUUUGUUAUGGCUUUAAUCACUUUCUUUAUGCGUUUUGUUCCAGCGAUCAGGGAGAGACACCUGAUAGGCAAAGAGGAUACCAGGGGAACCAUUUUUAUUUGGAAUGUGGUGAGAAGUCUAAUUAGAAUCUGAAUUCUGCUGAGCCUUGAAAUGGCCAGCACUUUAUCCUGAUCGCCUUAGAUAUUGUUUCGAGUCAAUCAUCUGUCAUGGUGCAGCAGGAGAGCCUCUCCCUUCACACCGCACCCCUCCCGCCACAGGGCCAGCCAGGGCACACUGGGGGAGGGGGGAGGCUUCUGCCCUUGUAGGGGUAUGUGCCUCCUUCUUAGGGGGAGGCCUGUUUGGUGUGGCUAACCCUCCCCUGGUGAGGGCUGUCUUUGUUGGGUGCUGAGUUUGAGCUCAUGGGGGGCAAAAGGGGAAGAGGGGCUGCAGGAAGAGGGUGCUGAGGGGCUUGUAUUAGAAUUAGGAGAUAUUGGGGUGAGGCCAAGCUAGUCUGGGGUACCUCCUAAGUGUUCCCAGCACAGUGACCACCCCAUCUCCUCUCUAUCAAUGGCCCAAAGGGACUCUCAUCUCUUUACUGUCCCCGGACAUAUUGUCUCUCUGCCACCUGCUCACUGUUCCUCAAACUCACCACUUUCAUUGCCAACCCCUCCCUGACCCAACAUUUGCUACGCGUUCAGCUCCUUUUCUUUGACUUUCCUCACUCCAGUCCCACCGCUGGAAUACCGCUCUGGUUUGUUCUGCCAUCUGUCAAGUCCCCGGACUGGUUCCGCCUCCUCCAGAAAGCCUUCCCUGACUACCUGAACCCAUACAGACACUCUCAAGACACUGUCCUUUCUACAUCCAGUGGCUGCAGUGGGGGGAGAUGAAAAGGAGGAGAAACUGUUGGAUAAAAAGAAAUUCAAAAAAAAAAAGUAAUCUCUCGGGAGUCCUCUACCACUCGGAACUUUCAGCCGUCACCUCCCUGCAGGCAAUGGAAGCACUGAUCUCUAAUUCCAAGCUUCUCUUGAGAUCCAAGCCCACAACCCCAGCAGCGCAAGCCUGACACUUGGACAAGCAGACUCUCGUGUCUCUCCUGAAGCCGGCAACAACCUGUGAGUCCCUGCUUCGAUAACUGCCAUGUCACCCACGCAUUCAACCUCGCAGAGACCUUGGAGCCUCCAGCCCUUCCCCUGUCCUCAUCUUUACCUUCAGUUAGUGUACCCGUUCACAGAUGUUUCCUGAUUUCUUUGGCACCCAUCUUUGCCUCACCAUCACCGCUGUCCCCUGGGAAGGCCCUUAUCACAGCUCCCCCAGGCCUCUUCAGUUCACCCAACAAGACCCACGCCAUGCCAGUCACCAGGUGCGGCAUCUGCCUCCCUGCACAGCUCUCUUAAGUCCCACGUCUCUGGUUGUUCUACACUCCGCUGCCAGAUUCAUUUUCCUAAUGCACAGCUCUAAUCAUGUCGCCCCCUGCUCAAAAACCCUCAAUGGCUCCCCUACUGCCUACUAAAUAAAGUACCAACUCCUGACUCUGA